CGAGAUAUAGCAUAUAUAAUGCCCCUUACUUACACUAAGGAAAAAACGUCAGUUUAUCUCG
rnacentral:tRNA from 1 species